GAGGGGGUUUACGACCUCGAUGUUGGAUCAGGACAUCCUAAUGGUGCAGCCGCUAUUAAGGGUUCGUUUGUUCAACGAUUAACAGUCCUACGUGAUCUGAGUUCAGACCGGAGCAAUCCAGGUCGGUUUCUAUCUAUGAUAAACCCUUCCUAGUACGAAAGGACCGGAAGAGUAGGGCCCAUACCGUACAGUACGCCCUCAAAAAAAUAAUGAAUACAACUCAAUUACCAGCACCCCCCCCCCCUUCNNCCCAGACAAGGGCA
rnacentral:rRNA from 1 species